rnacentral:rRNA from 1 species
UACGUAGGGUGCAAGCGUUGUCCGGAAUUAUUGGGCGUAAAGAGCUCGUAGGCGGCUUGUCACGUCGACUGUGAAAACCUGCAGCUUAACUGUGGGCUUGCGGUCGAUACGGGCAUCACUGGAGUUCGGCAGGGGAGACUGGAAUUCCUGGUGUAGCGGUGAAAUGCGCAGAUAUCAGGAGGAACACCGGUGGCGAAGGGCGGG